ensembl:miRNA mdo-mir-7360-4 mdo-mir-7360-1
UCCUUUCUGUAGGUAUAAUAUUUUAAUAAAAAAUUAAAUAUUGUAUCACAGAUUGGACU